GUGGCAACCCGUUUGGGUCCCCUUCCACACUGGAAGCUUUGUUCUUUUGCUCUUCACAAUAAAUCUUGCUGCUGCUCAUAGAAAGAUGCAAGCUAGUGCUAGCGAGACAGCCUGCAAAACCCCUGUGUUGUUUUGGGCUGUUAACCAUAGUCUGAGUGGCUUAGACAACAAACAUUUAUUUCUCACAGUUCUAGAGGCUAGAAGUCCAAGAGCAGAUGCCAGCAGACCUGUCUGGGGAAGGCCUGCUUCUUGGCCUGGAGACAGCCGCUUGCUCACUAUGUCUUCACAGGGCAGAGUGAACCCUGGUCUGUUUCUCUUACAAGGACACUCAUCCCACUGUGGGCCUCCACCUUUGUGAUUUCAUCUAUACCUAAAAGGCCCCACUUCCUAGUAUUCCGCCGGGGGUUCAGGCUUCAAAGAUGAAUACUGGGGGCGACACAAACGGAGCCCAUAACCUCAUGCCGCCUGACUCCUGAGGCUGUAUUCGUGAUGAACGUGUGGCUGCCCAAGUUUUGUUUUGCUCAGGCAGGAUCAGCACACACCCAGCCACAGACAGGGAAGCCCAGAGCAGGGCAGAAUAUGGUCCCUCAAGUGAAUAAUUGGCCCAGGGAUACAGAAUUAGGUGAUUCUAGCAAAUCCAGACAUUUUCUAGGGUGCCAGUGAAUUUUGGGUCUGUCCCUGUUAGCUGUUCUUGAGAUUUUGCACUCAACUUGCGAUGGUUAAUACGGAGUGUCAACUUGAUUGGAUUGAAGGAUGCAAAGUAUUGUUUCUGGGUGUGUCUGUGAGGGUGUUGCCAAAGGAGAUUAACAUUUGUGUCAGUGGGCUGGGAAAGGCAGACCCACCCUCAAUCUGGGUGGGCACCAUCUAAUCAGCUGCCAGCGUGGCCGGAAUAAAAGCAGGCAGGAGAAUGUGGAAAGACUAGACUAGUCUUGUGGCCUCCAUCUUUCUCCUGUGCUGGAUGCUUCCUGCCCUUGAACAUCGGACUCCAAGUUCUUCCGUUUUGGGACUUGGAUUAGCUUCCUUGCUCCUCAGCCUGCAGACGGCCUACUGUGGGACCCCUUCUUACUGAAAGCCUCCCUGUAAGGUGCUGAUUGCCUUCCAGAUCUGAGGACCCCGUCUCUGCCUCAUUCCUCCUGUUUCCAUCAGAAGACACAGGUCUGGGACUCAGCGCAGCUGACCUGUCUGUCCCUCUCUGCACAGUUUACUCCUGGGCUCUGCAGAGAGAAGUCAGUGCCUCAAUUUUCCAUUGAAAUAUGCACCCUUGGCAUCCUGGCAGGUGAGCGGCGCCCCCUUAGGGCUAAUACAGUGACAUAAAAUGUGUCAUAUUUUUGGCUGUGUGGUGGCUCAUGCCUGUGAUCCCCACACUUUGGGUGGCUGAGGCAGGCUGACUGCCUGAACUCGG
rnacentral:lncRNA from 1 species